CAGCAGCCGCGGUAAAACGUAGGUGGCGAGCGUUGUCCGGAAUCAUUGGGCGUAAAGGGAGCGCAGGCGGGCAUAUAAGUCUUUCUUAAAAGUUCGGGGCUCAACCCUGUGAUGGGAAAGAAACUAUAUGUCUUGAGUACAGGAGAGGAAAGCGGAAUUCCCAGUGUAACGGUGAAAUGCGUAGAUAUUGGGAGGAACACCAGUGGCGAAGGCGGCUUUCUGGACUGCAACUGACGCUGAGGCUCGAAAGCCAGGGGAGCGAACGGGAUUAGAUACCCGGGUAGUCCCUGUCUCUUAUACA
rnacentral:rRNA from 1 species